AGCUUUGGCCUUGUCUGUCUUCUUCAGCUCCUGAACUCUCUUCUCCCUCCUCCUCUCAUGGGCUCUGAGUCCAUUCCUAGCAUACUAACAGGCCCAGAACUCUUGGUCUGCAGCCAUCCUGGGCUCACUGAGCAAAGCCAAGUUGCCUGACUCUGCCCCCUGGUGGCCUAAUGACCAAGUUUCAUGGAGGUAUCUUCUCGGCCCCCCUCCAACUUUGAUCCAGGCAACUAUGUUGAAAUGAGUGAUCCAACCACCACCCAUUUACCCUCAAAAGUGGUGAUACAAGAUCUUACCACGGAGCUACACUGCCCUCUGUGUAACGACUGGUUCCGUGAUCCGCUGAUGCUGACCUGUGGCCACAACUUCUGCCAAGACUGUAUUCAAAGCUUCUGGAAAGUGCAUUCAAAGGAAACAUUCUGUCCUGACUGUAAGAUGCUAUGCCAGUAUAGCAACUGUACAUUCAACCUCGUGCUGGAGAAGCUCGUGGAGAAGAUUAAGAAGUUACCCCUGCUCAAGGGCCAUCCACAGUGCCCAGAGCAUGGAGAGAACCUGAAACUGUUCAGUAAGCCAGAAGGCAAAAUGAUCUGCUUUCAAUGCAAGGAUGCACGGUUGUCUAUGGGGCAGUCUAAGGAUUUCCUGCAGAUCUCUGAAGCUGUCCGUUUCUUUACGGAGGAGCUUGCUAUCUAUCAGAGCCAACUUCAGACAACCCUGAAGGAGCUUCAGUCUCUCAGAACAAUUCAGAAAGAUGCUAUUUCUGCUUACAAGGUUUCCAGGACAACAAGAUACAACUGCAACAAAACCUUUCCUUGGAGUUUCUAAAGCUACAUCAGUUUCUGCACAACAAAGAAAAGGACAUUCUAAAUGACCUCCGGGAUGAGGGGAAACUCUUGAAUGAGGAGAUGGAGGUGAAUCUGAACCAGAUUCAGGAGCAGUGUCUUGUUGCCAAAGACAUGCUGGCGACCAUUCAGGCACGGAUGGAACAGCAGAACUCCUUCGACUUCCUCACAGACAUCACAAAGCUCAUAGAGAGCAUGGAGAAAGGAAUGAAGACAAUUGUACCUAGACAGCUCAUCGCCAAAAAGCUGAGCCUAGGCCGCUUCAAAGGUCCUAUCCAGUAUAUCAUCUGGAAGGAAAUGCAGGCUAUUCUCUCUCCAGGCCCAUCUCAAUUAACUCUGGAUCCUAAAACAGCUCAUCCCAAUCUGGUGUUAUCCAAAAGCCAGACCAGUGUGUGUCACUGUGAUGUUAAGCAGGUAAUGCCUGAUGAUCCAGAGCGGUUUGAUUCAAGUGUGGCUGUACUGGGCUCAAAAGGCUUCACCUCUGGAAAAUGGUACUGGGAAAUAGAAGUAGGAAAGAAGACAAAAUGGACAAUUGGAGUCGUCAGAGAGUCCAUCAUUCGGAAGGGGAGCUGCCCUCUGACUCCAGAGCAAGGAUUCUGGCUUCUAAGACUAAGAAACCAAACAGAUCUAAAGGCCCUGGAUUUGCCCUCCCGUAGUCUGACUCUAGGCGACCUCAGAAGAGUGGGCGUGUACCUGGAUUAUGAGGGCGGGCAAGUAUCCUUCUACAACGCUACAACCAUGACCCAUCUUUACACCUUUAGCAGUGUUUUCCAGGAGAAACUUUUCCCCUACUUGUGCCCCUGCCUUAAUGACGGUGGGGAGAAUAAAGAACCGUUGCACAUCGUACAUCCACAGUAAUUAAGUUAUACUAUUGUAUAAAUUCAGGGCUUUAUUAAAGUAUUGAAAUAGUUUACCAA